rnacentral:rRNA from 1 species
CCAGCAGCCGCGGUAAUUCCAGCUCCAAUAGCGUAUAUUAAAGUUGUUGCAGUUAAAAAGCUCGUAGUUGAAUUUCUGUUUUGAAUGUCCGGUCCGCUUCCUCUGGAGGUGUGUACUUAUGAUGUUUGGAGCAUUUUUUGUGAGACUGCCUUUCUGCCAUUAAGUUGAUGGAUCGGUGGACUUGCAUCAUUUACUGUGAAAAAAUUAGAGUGUUUAAAGCAGGCGUUUGCUCAUUGAAUACAUUAGCAUGGAAUAAUAAGAUAUGACCUUGAUGGUCUAUUUUGUUGGUUUGCACAUCAAGGUAAUGAUUAAUAGGGACAGUUGGGGGUAUUCAUAUUUCAGCGUCAGAGGUGAAAUUCUUGG